rnacentral:lncRNA from 1 species
AUUCAUGAAGACGAGGCAAAUGACACUAAUGAGUAAUGAUAUAUGGUAAAACAAACACGAUAAGGAGAAUGAGUGUGUUGAAGACCAUAUUUCCAUUGCUUCUCAUCAGGAUGACCAGGAUAAUCAGGAAAAUCGAGACGAUCAUUGGAAGAAGCAAAUAAGAUUGGCACGAAGCGAUGGGAACUAUAACAUCUGUUUCAAGGGUCCUCCACCUCCAUAUUCUCUCAAUGAAUCUUCUUUAAUGGAAUAUAAGAGGAAU